rnacentral:lncRNA from 1 species
UGAUCAUUUUAAUGUGUCUGAUUUAAUUUUGCGAGCAAAUUUUCCUAUUUAUAAUCGGUCCUUUUAUUUCUUUGUUCUAGUAUCUAAAUUAGAGUUUGUUUUAUUAUUAUUAUUAUUUAAAUAAAAUUUAUGUUUAUGAAUUUUUAAUAAAUAUUUUAACAUUGGAUUCCUAUUAUUUUUGGACAGCUAGCACAUAUCUUCUCAUCACUCUCCCUCACCUUUCCUAUCUCUCACACGCUACUCAUCACACACGUCUCUCCCUACCUAUCUACACGCCACCUUCACUUUCUCUUUUCUGUCACUCUCAUAAAACACUCACUCACCUCUCUCAACCUGACUCAUCUCUCUCUGCUACAAGUUAAUAAAAAGAGAGAACUAGAAGGAGAGAAGGAGAAGCUUAUUCUUCACGCAGAAACACUUCCCUAUUUCUCCACACCAUAAACAAACCCUUUUCAUCUUCUGCACAAAACUUCACAAUCAUCUUAUUCCAAACAACAACAACCUCUCACUCCUUCUUCCAUCGGCGACUACACCCUUCCAAAACCAUUUCCGACCGCCACCGACGAAGCUCUAUAGCCCCUACAUCCAGCCUACUGCUAAACCGCCGGAAACUCACUGUCCCGCCUUGAACGCCGCCGCUACGAGUCGCCCUUCCGAA